rnacentral:rRNA from 1 species
AUUGAACGCUGGCGGCGUGCCUAAUACAUGCAAGUCGAACGAGCGGCGGACGGGUGAGGAAUGUCUGGGAACCUGCCUGAUGGCGGGGGAUAACUACAGUAAACGGUAGCUAAUACCGCAUACCCUCAGAUGUGCCCAGAUGGGAUUAGCUAGUAGGUGGGGUAAUGGCUCACCUAGGCGCCGAUCCCUACCUGGUCUGAGAGGAUGACCAGCCACACUGGAACGGAGACACGGUCCAGACUCCUACGGGAGGAAGCAGUGGGGAAUAUUGCACAAUGGGGGCAAUCCUGAUGCAGCCAUGCCGCGUGUGUGAAGAAGGCCUUCGGGUUGUAAAGCACUUUCAGCGAGGAGGCGUUACUCGCAGAAGAAGCACCGGCUAACUCCGUGCCAGCAGCCGCGGUAAUUC